AAAACUAAAUAUCAGCAGAAAACCAAUAGCGAACAAGUACCGUGAGGGAAAGGUGAAAAGAACUUUGAAAAGAGAGUUAAAAGUACGUGAAAUCGUUGAAAGGGAAAUGGUUGGGGCAGUAGCGGCGCCUUGCGGGUUUUCGAGCCCUUUUGUGCCACCUUCAUGAUUGGCGUGAGAGUCUUUUUUCUGGGGGGGAUCCCCCCCCCGAUGCGCGUAGGCUUUAAUUCUCUUGUGCGAGUCAGGUUUCAAUUUGCCUUGGCGGAGGGCCCCAGUAGUAAGUGAUUGCUGCUGGGGCGCUCUUCCAAAAGAAUGAUGCUGGUUUUACUUCCCAACCAACCCGUCUUGAAACACGGACCAAGGAGUCUAAUGCGCAUGCGAGUGUUUGAAUGUAAAA
rnacentral:rRNA from 1 species